rnacentral:rRNA from 1 species
CACCGACACAGGUUGGCAGGGUGAGAAUCCCAAGGCGCUUGAGAGAACUCGGGUGAAGGAACUAGGCAAAAUGGCACCGUAACUUCGGGAGAAGGUGCGCCCUUUGGUGUGGUCACGUGCGUGACUGAGCAUCGAAGGGUCGCAGUAACCUGCCCGCUGCGACUGUUUAUCAAAAACACAGCACUCUGCAAACACGAAAGUGGACGUAUAGGGUGUGACGCCUGCCCGGUGCUGGAAGGUUAAUUGAUGGGGUCAGCCGCAAGGCGAAGCUCUUGAUCGAAGCCCCAGUAAACGGCGGCCGUAACAAUAACGGUCCUAAGGUAGCGAAAUUCCUUGUCGGGUAAGUUCCGACCUGCACGAAUGGCGUAACGACAGCGGCGCUGUCUCCACCCGAGACUCAGUGAAAUUGAAAUCGCUGUGAAGAUGCAGCGUUCCCGCGGCAAGACGGAAAGACCCCGUGAACCUUUACUAUAGCUUUGCACUGAACGUUGAGUUCUUCUGUGUAGGAUAGGUGGGAGGCUAUGAAACCAGGACGCUAGUUCUGGUGGAGCCAUCCUUGAAAUACCACCCUGAAGUGCUUGACGUUCUAACCUAGGCCCGUAAUCCGGGUCAGGGACCGUGUAUGGUGGGUAGUUUGACUGGGGCGGUCUCCUCCCAAAGAGUAACGGAGGAGCACGAAGGUACGCUCAGCGCGGUCGGACAUCGCGCACUGUGUGCAAAGGCAUAAGCGUGCUUGACUGCGAGAUCGACGGAUCAAGCAGGUACGAAAGUAGGUCUUAGUGAUCCGGUGGUUCUGUAUGGAAGGGCCAUCGCUCAACGGAUAAAAGGUACUCCGGGGAUAACAGGCUGAUACCGCCCAAGAGUUCAUAUCGACGGCGGUGUUUGGCACCUCGAUGUCGGCUCAUCUCAUCCUGGGGCUGUAGCCGGUCCCAAGGGUAUGGCUGUUCGCCAUUUAAAGUGGUACGCGAGCUGGGUUCAGAACGUCGUGAGACAGUUCGGUCCCUAUCUGUCGUGGGCGUUGGAGAUUUGAGGGGGGCUGCUCCUAGUACGAGAGGACCGGAGUGGACGUUCCGCUGGUGUUCGGGUUGUCAUGCCCAUGGCAUUGCCCGGUAGCUACGAACGGAAGUGAUAACCGCUGAAAGCAUCUAAGCGGGAAGCACGCCCCAAGAUGAGAUCUCCCGAGAGCUUGACUCUCCUAAAGGCACCAUCAAGACUAGGUGGUUGAUAGGUCAGGUGUGGAAGCGCAGCAAUGCGUUGAGCUAACUGAUACUAAUGAGCCGUGAGGCUUGACC